GAUGAACGCUGGCGGCGUGCCUAAUACAUGCAAGUCGAGCGAACGGACGAGAAGCUUGCUUCUCUGAUGUUAGCGGCGGACGGGUGAGUAACACGUGGAUAACCUACCUAUAAGACUGGGAUAACUUCGGGAAACCGGAGCUAAUACCGGAUAAUAUUUUGAACCGCAUGGUUCAAAAGUGAAAGACGGUCUUGCUGUCACUUAUAGAUGGAUCCGCGCUGCAUUAGCUAGUUGGUAAGGUAACGGCUUACCAAGGCAACGAUGCAUAGCCGACCUGAGAGGGUGAUCGGCCACACUGGAACUGAGACACGGUCCAGGCUCCUACGGGAGGCAGCAGUAGGGAAUCUUCCGCAAUGGGCGAAAGCCUGACGGAGCAACGCCGCGUGAGUGAUGAAGGUCUUCGGAUCGUAAAACUCUGUUAUUAGGGAAGAACAUAUGUGUAAGUAACUGUGCACAUCUUGACGGUACCUAAUCAGAAAGCCACGGCUAACUACGU
rnacentral:rRNA from 1 species